GACGAACGCUGGCGGCGUGCCUAAUACAUGCAAGUCGAACGAGAGCGCCCGGUGCUUGCGCUGGUCAAUCUAGUGGCGAACGGGUGAGUAACACGUGGGUAACCUGCUCAUCAGAGGGGGAUAACAUUCGGAAACGGAUGCUAACACCGCAUAGGCCUUCGAACCGCAUGGUUUGAAGAGGAAAAGCGGCGCAAGCUUCUGCUGUUGGAUGUUCCCGCGGUGCAUUAGCUAGUUGGUGAGGUAACGGCUCACCAAGGCCGUGAUGCAUAGCCGAACUGAGAGGGUGAUAGGCCACAUUGGGACUGAGACACGGCCAAAACGCCUACGGGAGGCAGCAGUAGGGAAUCUUCCGCAAUGGACGCAAGUCUGACGGAGCAACGCCGCGUGAGUGAAGAAGGUGUUCGGAUCGUAAAAAUCUGUUGUUAGAGAAGAAUAAGUGCUAGAGUAACUGUUAGCGCCUUGACGGUAUCUAACCAGAAAGCCACGGCUAACUACGUG
rnacentral:rRNA from 1 species